rnacentral:rRNA from 1 species
GAUUAGAGUUUCUCAGGAUGAACGCUGGCGGCGUGCUUAACACAUGCAAGUCGAACGAUGAAGGUGGAUUAGUGGCGAACGGGUGAGAGUAACCUGCCCUUAACUCUGGGAUAAGCCUGGGAAACUGGAGCGUCCACCGCAUGGUGGGUGUUGGAAAGAUUUAUCGGUUUUGGAUGGACUCGCGGCCUAUCAGCUUGUUGGUGAGGUGAUGGCUCACCAAGGCGACGACGGGUAGCCGGCCUGAGAGGGUGACCGGUGAGACACGGCCCAGACUCCUACGGGAGGCAGCAGUGGGGAAUAUUGCACAAUGGCGACGCCGCGUGAGGGAUGACGGCCUUCGGGUUGUAAACCUCUUUCAGUAGGGAAGAAGCGAAAGUGACGGUACCUGCAGAAGAAGCACCGGCUAACUACGUGCCAGCAGCCGCGGUAAUACGUAGGGUGCGAGCGUUAUCCGGAAUUAUUGGCGUAGGCGGUUUGUCGCGUCUGUCGUGAAAGUCCGGGGCUUAACCCCGGAUCUGCGGUGGGUACGGGCAGACUAGAGUGCAGUAGGGGAGACUGGAAUUCCUGGUGUAGCGGGAUAUCAGGAGGAACACCGAUGGCGAAGACUGACGCUGAGGAGCGAAAGCAUGGGGAGCGAACAGGAUUAGAUACCUUGGUAGUCCAUGCCGUAAACGUUGGGCACUAGGUGCCACGGUUUCCGCGCCGCAGCUAACGCAUUAAGUGCCCCGC